UUUCCUCCCACAGGUGGUGGGCUCCUCCAUGCCACUCAUUGGGGAUCACCAGGAUGAAGACAAGCAGCUCAUCGUGGAACUUGUGGUCAACAAGAUGACUCAGGCUCUGCCUCGGCAGCGGGAUGCUUCCCCUGGCAGGGGUUCCCACAGCCAGGUCAGGCCCUUGGUCUUGAGCCAGUGGAAAGGAGGCCAACCCUUGAUCAAGCUGAUGCCAUCAAGGUGUUAUCUAUCAGUGGAAUAUUAGUGUCACCUUUAUGCACACGUGACAUUAAUAAAUCACUGCUACCUUGCCAUCCUUAAGAACCUCCUGACCAAGUAUGGGGUGAGAGGCCUCAUAGUCCCAUAUCCCCUCAACUGGCCACAAAUAGGGCAACACCCAGCACACAGGGAA
rnacentral:lncRNA from 1 species